CAGAAAUGAUCAAUGGAAGAAACUGAAUUAAAGUGACCCAAGAUGAUGAAUCUGGCAUCUUUAAAAUUUAUCAUCAAUAUUUUCCUUGUUCUUGGCUUUUCCAUAUGCCUGUCUCUUUCCUUUCAUUUAGCCUACAGAGUGAAGAUUGUACUCUUUUUGAAGUGCCCGAGGCCUACGGUAAUAGUCUCAGUUUACUAGAGUGCCUUUGGGAUCAAUAACUGAGGAAGAAAGGGGGAGGAAGCAGAAUGGAGUAGAAGGAGAAGUGGCGCUGCAAUGUAGGCCUGAUGACAGCCUCAUCCAACCCCACAGGGAGCCCUGGAACUAAAACGGCUCAUCAAGUGAUUCUGCGUUUGGCUGAAACAGCCAGAGUCCUUAUAUCCUCCUCGGUCAUGGGAUAUGGGCUGCCUUGGGAAGGACGUGACCUUGAGCAAGGGGGCUCUCUGAAGCCUGCAGCUGUCAGCCACAUUCCCAGCAGCUGGGACCACAAGUCACUCCUUGAACAGGGAGUCUGGGUGGCCUGUCGUCAUGUCCACCACAGUAGCUUUUGUGAAAGCCUGAUGAGGGAAGCUUCAGAUGCACAGAAGAUCAUGGGUCCUAGGCACCAGCGAGAAUGUGGCAGUGCUUGUACAAGGCAUAUCAUUCAUGGUGAGUGAGAGGGUAUAUGUGUGGUGGUUAAGAGCACAGACUACAGGGCCAGACAACCUGUUUGUAUCCUUGGUUCUGCACUUCCCAGCUGGGUGACCUUGGUCAGGUUGCUUGACCUCCCUGUGCUUCAGUUUCUUCCCAUGAAUUGGGGUCAUACUAGAAUCUGUCUCAUAGAGGUGUCAUAAGAAUUAAACGAAUUCAUGUAGAUAAAGUGCUUAGGAUAGUUUCAUGCCCAGAGCAAGCACUCUAUGUGUAACUGUUGGUAUAGAUAGACAUAGUUUGAUGAAGGCUCUGAGUAAAGAUAGGGGUUUUAGAACCUAUAGAAACAGUGGGAAACUGGAAGGAAGGUGAAGGAUUCCGAGAACUAGAUAUAAAACGAACAAUGAAAAUGACCAAGGAAGCACUAGAGGAUGAGAAAUGAGAGACACAGAGAAAAUAAUAAAAAUGACUCAGAAGAAAAGUGCCCAGGGGCUGGCCACGUGGCUCAGUGGUUAAGUUCGCGUGCUCUGCUUCAGUGGCCCGGGGUUUGCUGGUUGGGAUCCUGGGUGCAGACCUACAAACCCCUCAUCAAGCCAUGCUGUGGCGGCGUCCCACAGAGAAGAACCAGAAGGACUACAACUAGGAUACACAACUAUGUACUGGGGCCUUGGGGAGAAAAAAAGAAAAGAGGAAGAUUGGCAACAGAUGUUAGCUCAGAGCCAAUCUUCCUCACCCCCCCCCCCCCAAAAAACGUGUCCAAUUAAACAUUAAAAUCAAAUGGCAACAGGGGGCUGGCCCCGUGGCCGAGUGGUUAAGUUCGCGUGCCCCGCUGCAGGCGGCCCAGUGUUUCGUUGGUUCGAAUCCUGGGCGCGGACAUGGCACUGCUCAUCAGACCACACUGAGGCAGCGUCCCACAUGCCACAACUAGAAGGACCCACAACGAAGAAUAUACAACUAUGUACCGGGGGGCUUUGGGGAGAAAAAGGAAAAAAAAUAAAAUCUUAAAAAAAAAAUCAAAUGGCAACAAAUUAAAUGAUUUGAGAACAUUACUGCAGAGUUGGUUCUCUGAAUAUUCUGAAUAAGAUCUUACUGGUAGCAAAAUUGCUUCUGAUUCCCACUCCCUCUUCCUCUUUCCAGACAUCCUACUAUAUUUCACCUUCCUCCUACUCACUUUCAAGUCCUAACCCCUUACUGACUAAUUGCUAGAACUGUCACUGUAGGCAUGUUUCAGAUGCAACCUUAGUGCACUCUAUUAAUAGAACGUGAAUGUUGCCCUGAAGCAAGUCAAACAAAAGAUGAGACAAGAAGAUCAAUACACGAAAAAUGAGUAUAAGCACAUUAUCUCAUCAAGUGGUGGCUAAAAGCAAAGCGAAUGUGCUGUAGGAGAAAAUAUCAGUUUAAACCCAUGAGCAUAGUGUUGAGGAAACAGGCCCUCGCAGCCCCAUCAAGCGUCCCAGAGGAAAACCUGAAUUGCUGGGAGUGUAAUAGAACUGUCAAUAGCACACAGAAUCAGUGUCGAUUCUGGGACAGACUGAAGACUAUGACAGUGUUUAUAAAAAUCACAGACUUUUCAAGAUAGAACAUAAAAACAACACCACCACCUCCACAUACUGAACUGACGAUGAUCUUUAUUGUUCUGACUCAGUGAGCGUCCUGCCUCAAUUCCAUCAUGCGAGCUGGACCUCUCCCCCAAAAACAUUUCAGUCCUGCUGUGCUUAUGCUGAGGACUGGAGGAUUCCAUGGUGCUAGCCCCACCCAAACCUGUGAGGAGACAGUUCUCUUUGCUAAGUGUGGUGUGAGUUCUAGGCCAUUUAUUUGCAUUCUUAGCAUGUGUAUGCUUCUGCGCUGCAUUAGAUACUAGAUUUCUCUCCUGGCUUCCCAGCAUAAUAGAACAUCUUUGAAAAGUGGCUAAGCUCUUGAGAAAACUCAGAACCAAAGGAGAGGGGCCGGAAUGAUACCCAAGUUUACAGUCCCAUCUUUAGCUGCUAUGCCAACAGUGGAAGCAUUGUUCUCAUGCCUCCAUUGGCAGGAUCCAUUGUUCUCUGGUUACAACAGGAGUGAGAUAAACAGCAGCUGUGAGGCCCCUGCCCUUCCGCCUCCAAGGCCUGGGCACUGAAUGUGAGAGGCCUGGUGGUACGGAGGGUGCUGACAGUUCUCGAAAGACAGGGUUGAUGAAGGUGGGGACAUAAGAUUUACUCUUGAAGCACAAAAUAUUAUCUGCAAGGAAACAGUAAGAGAAGGCUGAGAUGUUACAGUAACUGUUAUCACUAAUAUUUUCCUAUUUCGGCAUAUGAAAUAACUAGAGAAACAAUAUAGUUUUGCAUACAACUUAUAUACAUAUAUUUGCAUUUGCUAAGCCUUAUGUGGUCUUUGAGUCAAUUUCCAAGUUUUUCUCCUUUUUUUUAAUCUUACUUUUUGUGGUUCUUCCCUGUACCUUACCGCCUCAGCUUCCUUACAAUAUAUGGUCAAUUCUCCUUUUUUGUGGUAGUGGUGUUCUGUGAAGUCACCGCAAACACUAAAUUAGUGAAUGCUGAAACUGCUCUUAGCAGAAACACAGGCUUAGGCUCCUACAAGUCUCUGGUCACAACAUUUUCCUCAACUGGUCGUUUAUGUGUAUUUUUGUUUAAAAACAUCUUAAUUUAAUAUAUAUCGUUGAUUCAUUGACAUUGAACUGAUGGCCAACGGCACUAAAACUCACGCCUGAAUAAAGCUCCCCUAACACACCUGUUUUCUCUGUAAGGCACAUCGGAGCCUUCCUGCACUUAAGACAGCACCUUGUCACUAAGCUUGGGGCCUUUUUAAACAGCAAAAUCACCAAUAAAAAGUACAAAACUGUGAAAAACAUGGCACUAAGUGGACCUCAAAUAGGACACGUUUACAGAAGGAGAGCUCAAACAAGAAGGCAGGGCGUCGUCUUGUUUGACAGCUGGGAAUAUGCAUGUGCUUUAGGCAACUCAGACUUUUCACAGCUCUGCACAUGUCUGUGUAUGACCUCAAAAGCACUGCUAGGAUUGAUUCUGGGGUUACAAAUAAACAUAGCAAGUAGACAAAUUUUCAAAUGCAGAAUCCUCUAAUUUUACACAUUAGUGAGUGAGAAAGUUUUGUUGGUGAAAUCUUGCCACGGAACCAGAAAUCAAGAAAACAUGGUUCCGUCAGCUUUCAGAACAUGGAGAAUUCCAUUCCAAGGACGGCUUCGGAUGUGCUAGGCUUCAGAUAAAAGUGACACUGCCACGUCCCCUAACUCCACUGUCAUUAGAUUAUGUACUGGGAGAUGCUUUUCCGUUAUUGGACAUGUAUUAACUCUAAGCCAGUGAUUCUCAAAGUAUGAUGGAUGGACCAGCAGCAUGAGCAUCACCUGGGAGCUUGUUAGAAAUGCAAAUUCUCGGGCUCCACCCCAGACCUACAGGAUCAGAAUCUCUGGGGGUGAAGUCCAGCAAUCUCAGUUUUAAAAAGCCCUCCAGGAGGUUCUGCGGCACCCUCGAGUUUGAGAACACUGCUCUGAGCCGCGCAACUCAUCUGGUCCCGCUGGUGGCUAGUGGCCUGCAGCAGGCCUGGCUCAUCGACCUUCAGGGUAGAAAGAGCCAGGGCUUGAUAGUCAAGAACUGGGAUCAAAUCCCACUUCUGCCUUUUAUAACGAGAAGACCUUAAGUUACUUAAAAUUCUGACACUCCAGUUUCCUCAUCUGUAAAAAUGUGGAGAUUAAAAGAAAUAGCUGAUGAAAAAGUGCUUAGCACACAAAAGGUCCUCAGUAAAUGUUAGCAUUCUUUUAUUUGCCUGUCUUUCAUUCCUGAGUAAGACAUGAUGGGUGAAGGAAAAAAAAUCCCGGAGAGACAAUUUUCUUUGAAUAGAAUAGAAUAGAGCUUGGGGUUUUAUCUCAGAGGAAAAAAGGAUCAUUCUUAUCAUUCUCUCUCCCUCUCCCUCCAGCUCUCUCUCUGGCUCACUCUCUCUCUCUGUCUGUAAGGAAAGCUGGUACUCUGGUCUCAGGGUAGCUAUAGGGUGAAAAACACACCAAAAUCCUUCAAAGAGAGCUCGGACUAUUUUACUGAGCCCCUUUACCUUAAGAUACAAUUAAAAACUAAGUCCUCUGGACUCAUUGCAUUCUUCCUGUUUCCCUUCUAUCUUCUACCUCCACCAGCAACUUCAUUCUGCUCUUCUUCUAGCCUAAGGAACAACAGAUUCCUUUCAGUUGGCUUCCUAGGAUCCUUAAAGGCUUUAUUUGAAAAAUGGCUGAGUACGGGCUACCGCCAACUGCCCCAUAUAGCUGAGGGAGAAUUCAGGUCUCAACCUGCCAGCCCUUCAUCUUGAGUCAUGCAGUCAUUAAAAUCAAAAUAGAGCCCUGCAGCUUGUUGUGUUCAGAGAUUGUAAUUCUGCAUAUUAGAAGGAUUUUUUCUAUGAAGUUGCUUUUUUGGCUCCUCCACAGGAUUGCAGCCCAUCUUCUUUGGCUGCCCGCAAUGACAUUGUCUUCCUGUAUUUAACGUCUUUUGGAGUCAUCUUGGAGACCUGCUACUGCUGCCAUUGUAUAAAAUGGAAAUAUCUAUUUGUGCUUCUUUUCUCUAUUCAUAUUCUCUCUCUCUCUCUCUUUUUUCCUUUGGUGAGGAAUAUUUCCUCUGAGCUAAUAUCUGUUGCCAGUCUUCUUUUUUUUUUUUUUCUCCCCAAAGCCCCAAAACGUAGUUGUAUAGUUGUAUAUCCUAGUUGUAAGUCAUUCUAGUUCUUCUAUGUGGGACGCCGUCACAGCAUGGCUUGAUGAAUGGUGCACAGUUCUGUGCCCAAGACCCGAACCAGCGAAAUCCCAGGCCGCCAAAGCAGAGUGUACAAACCCAACCACUCAGCCACAGGGCCAGCCCCGCUAUUCAUAUUUUUAUAUCUUUUCAUAAGGUCCAUCCUUCUAAUUUCUUUUGUCGCUGUUACCAUCAUUGUAAUUAUAAUCAACAUCAUCACUCGGCAGUCCCAGAGCACCAUGCACAGGGCUAGUGGGUACUCUGUAACCAUUACUAACUGCCUAGCUCUUUAAUUCCCUGUAUCCCAAAUGAUUCUAGCUUUAUCACUCUGUGAAUGUCCAUCACCCUCAAGCCUCAUGAAGACCAGAGUUGGCAAAAUGAAAUAAACAUUGCUCCCGAAGGAGGAAAUCCACUCACCAAUCUGAAACACCAAAUAUCAAAAUAUAGCUUGCUGGGCCAGCCCAGUGGUGCAGCGGUUAAGUUUGCACGUUCCACUUCGGCAGCCCGGGGUUCGCCGGUUCAGAUCCCUGGUGCAGACAUGGCACCGUUUGUCAAGCCAUGCUGUGGUAGGCAUCCCACAUAUAAAGUAGAGGAAGAUGGGCACAAUGUUAACUCAGGGCCAGUCUUCCUCAGCAAAAAGAGGAGGAUUGGCAGCAGAUGUUAGCUCAGGGCUAAUCUUCCUUUAAAAAAAAGAAACUUGCUGAAAUGAAAGAACGGGAAAAAUGAGAGCCAUGGGGAACUUAUUUCACAGAAGUUGACCCAAGUCUUGUCUGUUAGAAUUCACAGGAGCCAACACCAACUGGUGCAAAGAUGCUGGGUUUCAGAAGAGCCAGUUCUACCCCCUGGCUGUAAUGCACUGGACUCCCCGCUUGAGCUGGGUCAAUCUGACUCUCUCAUGGCAAUGUAGAAUUGAGACCUAGUACUUGUUCUUUAGAGGCUAGAAUUGUGAAGUGAUAUGAAGCUAGGGCCCAGAUGGUCAUGCCUGUUGAAGCUGUGAAAGACAGAGAAUGAACCAGAACCAGAGAGACACAGAGAUGAGACAAAGAAGCAGACAGCAAUCUGGGGUCCUAAUCCCUACUCUUGCUUCCACCUCUUUGCGGUCUAUAAGAAACCCAGUAAAUCCACCAAACUCCUCGACUUCUACUUCUUCCUUUUUUUCUCCUUGGUUUGAACCAGGUGAAUGGGUUUCUUUUGCAACCAGAAAGUCUUAACUAAGACCCUCUUCUUCUUCACAGAGCUAGAAGAUGAGCCAGGCAACUGCUCAUGGUUGGGAGGUCAGGGAGAGGGUUGCCAAGGAUUUCAAGGCAUCGUUUCCUUCUCUGUAGGAGGUAGUGCUUGCCAGUCUGUGAUUUUCUGUGAAUCAGAUCUCACAAUCACAGAUAUUUUCCUCUGCCCCACCCCCAUCCCCAUCCAGGUGAGCACAGCCACAGUUGCCAGCCUUCAGCUUUCACAGAACUUGAUUUCCUCCUGCAGAACCCAGAGGACACUUCGGUUUGGUCGAGGACAGCAGCAAGCUCAAAGUCUUGCUAAAGUGAAUCCAACUAGUCUUCAGCUUUUUGCCUCUAAUGUCUCUAUUGGGAGGUAGAGGGGAUAUUGCAAAGAUUCUCCAGCUUCAGUCACUAGCACACUACCUUUAUGGGUUUUGACAUUUUCAC
ensembl:lncRNA